rnacentral:lncRNA from 1 species
ACAAAAGCAAUUGAGUGAAUGGAAUUAACCAAUUAGAAGUAUUCACAAAGAUAGUCAAAGUUGACAUUAAUGUUCAAUUCAGAAGAAGUAUUGUGAAAAUGAAGUUUGAAAAUCAAAGGCCUAAGGCCUAGGUUUCUAGUUUUUGAAAACAAGUGAAGCUGUUUUCACAAAAGUUUUCUGGUUUGGGUUAAGGAUGGAAACAUGGAUCAAG